rnacentral:lncRNA from 1 species
CGGCCACGAGGGGGCCGAGCAGGGAGCAGCGGCUGCGGCGGCGGGGAGGCUCCGGGGAGGCCAGGGCAGCUGAUGAUUGUGGCCGAAAUAUCUCAAGGUAGCUGGGCCUGCCCCCUCUUCCCCACCUACCUGUUGUCCUUACCCCCAAACUACCACCACCCUGGCUCCACUCCCUCAUGACCGCCUGGAUCCUCCUUCCUGUCAGCCUGUCAGCCUUCUCCAUCACGGGCAUAUGGACUGUGUAUGCCAUGGCUGUGAUGAACCGCCACGUGUGCCCAGUGGAGAACUGGUCCUACAAUGAUUCCUGCUCUCCUGACCCUGCUGAACAAGGGGGCCCUAAGACCUGCUGCACCCUGGAUGAUGUUCCUCUCAUCAGUGUGGCACAUACCCCCCAGAGAGCUGCCUCUUCAGCCUCAUUGGCAACAUGGGUGCUUUCAUGGUGGCCCUCAUCUGCCUCCUUCGGUACGGGCAGCUCCUAGAGCAGAACCGGCACUCCUGGAUCAACACCACUGCACUCAUCACUGGUUGCACCAAUGCUGCAGGCCUUGUGGUGGUCGGCAAUUUCCAGGUGGACCACGCCAAGUCUCUACACUACAUCGGAGCUGGUGUGGCCUUCCCUGCUGGGCUGCUCUUUGUGUGCCUGCACUGUGUUCUCUUCUACCAUGGGGCCACCACCCCCCUGGACAUGGCUAUGGCCUACCUUCGAAGUGUGCUGGCUGUCAUCGCCUUCGUCACCCUGGUCCU